rnacentral:rRNA from 1 species
AGUGAACGCUGGCGGUAGGCCUAACACAUGCAAGUCGAACGGCAGCACAGUAAGAGCUUGCUCUUACGGGUGGCGAGUGGCGGACGGGUGAGGAAUACAUCGGAAUCUACUUUUUCGUGGGGGAUAACGUAGGGAAACUUACGCUAAUACCGCAUACGACCUACGGGUGAAAGCAGGGGAUCUUCGGACCUUGCGCGAUUGAAUGAGCCGAUGUCGGAUUAGCUAGUUGGCGGGGUAAAGGCCCACCAAGGCGACGAUCCGUAGCUGGUCUGAGAGGAUGAUCAGCCACACUGGAACUGAGACACGGUCCAGACUACUACGGGAGGCAGCAGUGGGGAAUCUUUGCCAAUGGGCGCAAGCCUGAUCCAGCCAUACCGCGUGGGUGAAGGAGGCCUUCGGGUUGUAAAGCCCUUUUGUUGGGAAAGAAAAGCAGCAGGUUAAUACCCCGCUGUUCUGACGGUACCCAAAGAAUAAGCACCGGCUAACUUCGUG